rnacentral:lncRNA from 1 species
UGUUGGAGAAAACCAACUAUACUUCUCAUACUUCUCCAUGACUCAAUGUGCAAGAUAACGUUACGAAGAUUUCCGUCUAAGAGAGAAAAGUGACUUGUCGACAUAACUAGUAUUAUUAUUAAUAAUAAAUAAUUUACCUAAUUUUUUAAUAGAGUUGAUUGUGAUCAGAUAAUAAUGCAAAAUUUAUGAAGCGGGGCAAUUAGAGAGUUAACGAAGGAGAAGUAGUGCUGUGC